rnacentral:sRNA from 1 species
AAAAAGAUGAUGAUAACUAAUAUUAUACAAGAAGAAAGAGAAGAAGCAAGAAAAAAAAAAAAAAAAUAAAAUAAAAUAAAAUAACUGAAACUUGAAAUAAGUGGCGAAAGAUAUUUCAAAUUUCAUUAUACAAAAUAUUUCUUUUUUCUUUUUUUUUUUUCUUUUAGAAGAUAUAAUCUUAAUUAUAUUUUAUAAAAUAAAUUAAAAAAAAAAAUAUAAUUGUAAAAUCUUCUUAACAAGAACAAAUACAAAACAUUUUGUAUUCUUAUUAUUUCAUUAAUGAAAUGAUAAUUUACAAACUUGAUAAAAUAGAAAAAAUUAAAAAAUAAAAUAAAUCUUUACGAAUGUUAGAGAUAAUUUUUAUAUAUUUUAUUUUUUACCUAUUUAUCAAAACACCAAAAGGAAAAAAAAAAGAAAAGGAAUAAAUCAAUAAAUAAAUAUAUAUAUAUAUAUAUAUAUAUAUUUUAUAUAUAUACAUAUUUGUCAAUUGGACAAAAUUGUUUGCUCCUUUGACACAGUAUGAAUUUUUUUUUUUUUUCUUUUUUUGCUUCUUCUCAUUUCUAUUAUCAUGAUUGAAGAAUGGAAAAAAUCUUUGGUAAUCUGAUUUUUAAUGA